GAUGGACAGGACAAAUACUAGGAGGGAUCGGUGGAAAUGAAAUGAGGUAGAUAAGGGAAGGGCAGCCCCCUCUGUUUGAAGAGAAUGCAAAAGGCCAUCCAGCCUUAAACCCCUGAGAUUAGGGGCAAUAUUUACUAAAGUCCAGUAGAUGCUCACUUUAACUUGAUGGUCGGGACGUGCUCCAAAGUCUCGAGCCCUACAGCCCACAGGCUCCCCCCCCUCCAGCCUCUCACUUCAAAGCCGGUACCGUGCAGGUUUAGAAACCGUGUGAGUCACCGCGCUGAGACAUAACACUACAGGCACCCAAUAAAUGCGGACAGAGGUUUGAAUGCGGAUCCACCGAUAUUAACCUCCACUUGGCAAACAUCAGAAUUAAGUCAAAUCCUCGAAACAAACAAAACUCUAGAAUCAGCAGACGAGAACAAGGGAUGAAAAAUGUGUCUUGGAGGAAAUAAAAUAGAUAAAAGCACUGGAUUAAACCUUUGCUUUCUCAAAUGGUCAAACUACACCCAUGGAAACUGGAACAAAACUCAGUGGAAAAUAUAAGAGGUAUCAAAAUUGCGGUCCUCGUGUAUGCACCUUCCCUCUUUUCCUGAUGGAAGCGAUCUAUACAUCUGAAAAUAGAGACCCCUGGGAGGUGGCUCGUUCAUUUCCGUCCUUGAGGUCUGUGGGGGUCAGACCCCCUCAGCAGUGCAGCCCGUGCGGCGCGGCUGGGGGGGGGGCGCGGCGGUCCCGGCGACCCCGCUGGCGGCACCUCCCGGCCUGGUGACCUCGGGGAGGUGCUGCCCGCUUCCCGGAGCCCAGCCCCGCGGGAGCAACACCCGCCGGGGCGCCGGGCAGCCCACGCAGGGCUCCCUCCCUACCUGGAAAAAAGAGCAGGCACGAAGCCGGCCACGCUCCUCGGAUGUUGCUACAAACCGCGGAGGCGUUUCGCCGGGCGGAGCAGAUGUGGCGCCCGGCAAAGCCGCUCUCGGCUCCGGCCGGCCCCUCGGGACCGUGCCGCGCCGUGCCGCGCCGUGCCGGGCAGGGAGGGGAGGCCGGGGUUGUGCAAAGUCGCAGCGCCUCCUGUUGUCCGGCUGCGGCUGCGGGCUCAGCCGCCUCUUCCUAGGAUUGCUCCCCGAGGUGAGAGCACAGGCCGGCUCCUGUCUGUGGUCUUCUUGGAGAGCCUCUCGGCUCGGCGUGCAAACCAGCCAGCCCGAGGUAAUCAGCCGCUGCUGGGAGUUCCCUCCGGCCCCGGCCGCUGUGUUGCAGCCCUGCUGGAGAAAAGCCUUCCUUGCGUGAAGAAGAGGGUCGUGACGGCUCUGCCCACGGCAACAGGAAAAAGAAUGUAUUUCGGUAGUUGCCCUUGCCCUGCACUUAGCUUAUGCGAAACCCUGUGUGGGAUGCUCCGACAGUCCAGCGCGAUUUGUGUGCACCCUUCGCGGCAGGCUCAGCGGGGAGGGAAGGGCUCCCCUAGGAUGGAGGACGCGUGCUGUAGCCAGGAGCUCCCCAGAGGCACUUAGCUGCUUCUGUGGGUUGUAGACUUCAGGACGGUAGCCCUGGCCCGAUUUACAAAGAGCCUUUCCCCCUUUCCUCAGCUCUGGUCAGAGUACCACCAGUUUCUGAUCAGGCUGUACACUGGUGGGAUUUUUUUUGUGUGUGGGUGGUUUUUUUGUUGUUUUUUUCCCCCUCUUUUUUUUUUUUUUUUUUCCCUCCAGUGGGAGCUGUUUGUGCAGUUUGGAGAGAAGCGCAGCCUGAGAUGAACUGCAUUUUCUCCGCCUAAACGGGAGCAGGGUCUCAGCUCCUGGCUCCACUGGUGCGCGCUGCCAAGGAGAGAAACAUAAUAACUGACCAAAAAGAAAAAAAAAAAGUACGUGCGUGUGGUCUGUGUGUGUGUGGAGCGGGAGGAGGGCGUCCCCGAGAGCCCGUGUUACCAGCGGUGGCAGUGAGAGCUGCCCCCCGCAAAGACCACUCGGCAAGCGGCCGCGUUUUGGGCAGCGCAUGCCUGCGGGUCCCGGCCGUCAGGCCGGGCCGAGGGGCCUCACCCGUGGGAAGGGGCCUCCGGCAGCGUCGCGGAGACCGGAGCUGGCACCGGUACCGGCGCUGCCCAGGCGGGGACCCGCCGCGGCCCCGGGGGCUGGCCCCUUGCCCCGCGCCGCUCGGGAGCGCCUCCCGCAGGGUCUCAUUUGAUUUUACCGAGACGCCAUCGUCUCCUGGCCGGGGAUCUCUUGGUAGUGCUUGUGCGGGGCAGAUGUCUAGUCGGGAAGGAGCUGCAAGGUUAUCUCCGCAUCAGGAUGCCUUGCCUGGUCCUCGCUGUGCAGCCACCUUUUCUUUUCCCCGGAUCUGGCCCCCGCGGAGGGUCGCUGGUACCCGGCUUUCCGGGCGGGCUCAGCCCUGCGCAGCGGGUCGCCUCAAACGCCGAGUGGGACUCUUCAGCCGCUCCCACCCUCUCCUUGUCCUUACUCAUCCACCCCUCCCGACGGUGGGAAAUCCCUCUUCCCAUCUGUUUCCAACCCGAAAUCCUCCCCUACCCAAGCGGGUAAACAGGAAUCGGGUGGGAACGUGCCGCUACCCAGAGCCGGGUCCUUUGGACGGGGAGCAGCGCCCGGGCAGGUGAGGGCACUCCGGGGGGCCAGCACUUGCUAGGAGCCUCUGCUGCGUGAACGGUCCUUAUCGUCGAUCAGGACGACCGAUGGACCCCCUUUCCCCGACCGACCUGAGGCAUCAUUCGGAGUUGGCACCAUCAGAGUUAAGCGACACUCCUGACAUAAAAUAUAAUACCCCAUCCGCCCGAAAAUACUCAUGUAUCAGACCACUUAAAGGAGAAAGAAGCAGAAAUAACAAAAUGAAAAAUUACGAAUAAGUUAACACCCGAUGGCUGCAGCUAUGAGAGCAAGGAAGGCUCUGUGUUUUUCUGCUUACUUUUUUUUUUAGUGUAACAAAAGAGCUCCUAACUAGGUAAAUCAUGACCCACCGUAUACAAUCACUUUAUUUUUGCUAAUAUGGUUAGCUGUGUGUAUGCUGUUUGCAGAACCCCAGCUGGCAGGUUGCCCACACUGCAGUGUGUUAUUGGGCAAGUGUGGUUUUACUUUAUGUAAAAAUAAAUGCACUUCGUAUUUCUCAUUUUAUUCAACAGCAGCCACGUAGGUAUUUAUUUCAAGUUUUGGAUGUUUCAAUUAUGUUAUGAUUUACUGAAACAUAAAUGGAUGUGCUUCUAUUGUGUCAUUUGAUCAGUGUACCAAUUCUUAUCCAAUUACUCAGUAUCUUUUCAAAAGUUUGGUUUGGUUUGGUUUAAAGGGUGUUUUGUUUUAAAGUAGCUGCAGUCCUGUGGCAUGGAAGAAACAGUGUCAGGGGAGAUGGGAAUUCUGUUAUUCACAGAGAUAAACACAUGUACAUCAAUGGCACUCACUUCGUAGAAUCUCAACCAAAUUGCAAAAAUGGUAUUUCAGGACAUAUGCAGAUUUUUGAGGUACACAUAUAAGGAAGGAAGAAAGAAAACUAAGACAGUGAAUGCAGUUAAUCUAAAUAAACUUGCAUAAGAAACAAAGCUUGGCAGGAGAGACACUUUUGCAUGAAUCCUAGAAUUACUUCUUUGUUAAAGCUGCCCAAGUGACUUAAUGGACUAAAGUCUGCCUUUUUUUCCCCUCCAACAAUAUCCGCUGCUUGAACAAAAGCAGUUUCCACUCUCCAUGAGUCUUGCUUCUCCAAAACCUGCCGUGAGUUCUCUAUGAGAACAUCUGUUUUAUUGAUGUAAACCAAACAGCACUGUACAAGAGAUGGACAAGAGAUGCAGAGCGGAUCGACAAUUUGUAACAUUCACACCAAUAUAAUAGUCCAGUUUUUCUGCCAACUGACCUUCCUAUGCAGGAGGUGGGCUUGGUUUAGUACCUUGGAUUCUAGGUGAUGGAGAGCGGAGGAAUGAUACCCCUCCUUCACUGCAUAGCACCAUAUUUUCAGAUUGUUUGCUCCAUUCUCCUUUACCUGCAAAGAAUUAUUAAUUUCCCUGUCUCUGUCUCUACAGCAGUUUUACAGAAAAGCACUGGGAGAGACCAGUAUCCAUCAUAAAUGGUUUUCUUGGCUGGCUUCAGCUCUGAAGAAUCAAAUGUACAAAAUCAAGGCUGGCUUAUUUAAACUCUCCCCCAGGGAGCAGUUUCACAGCUUUACCCAACUUGCAGUUCCUAGUGCAUAAAUGAAUUCAGGCACAUAUUCUUGCGCUGUAUUAACAAGGACAGCGAGCAAUUGCGGGAUGUGUGGCAGCAUGAUCACACAUAUACAGAAAUGCUUUGACCAUUUACUUCAUCUGGGGACAUACAUUAACCUGUGUGCAGCAAAAAUGAUGUUUGCCCUAGAAGAGGCUGCCCAGAGGCCCUAUGUAACACAUCCUGUAGUUUUACAUUGAAAUGCGAGAAUGUGAGUAUCAACUGGUAACAUCCUACAAUUGUAAGCAAGACCCAUAAAAUAGGAUAGUCAACUAGUGUCUAUGGGAAAGCAGAGGAAGGUCUGGAUUUGGUAACAUUUUAGGACUCCUCAGGGGCAGCAGCUGUUCAGUAUUUUGGAGAGUGGUUGGUCCUCUCAGCAGUUGGCCUAAGCUUCUGCUGCUACUUCAAGCAUUUCAAGGGUGAAUCCCCCUGCUGAGCAGUUUUAAGGGAAUGACAUCAGGAAGGUCACUUAGCUCACCAUGUGCCUUCCUUUCUGCCGUCAUGUAGGCUCAGUUCCCGGUGCAGCUAUUGGUGAGACAAGGAAAAAUCAGAUUUAAUUAAUUCUUCCUCCACCCCUCCCCAGCCAACAAGGCAGCUGCCAAAAUAUUUCUGCAGGGCAUGUAGUUUCAGGUUUACUCCUUCUUAGGUAGUGACUUCAGGUGGGAUUGAUUGGGAGGGAAUCCAACACCUGACCUUUCCUUCAGUUCCUCCUAAAGAGAGAGAUCCUCUCACCCGUCCCAACAAUUUUAUAGCUCUUCAGGUGGCUUUCCUAUUACCCAUUGAACAAACAACCCUUUUCCCUUUUUCAGGAUCGAUAUCUAGGAAUAUUUCCUUCACCAUCCAUCCUCUGCCAGAAAUCCUUUAAAUCUUUCUUAACGUUACCCUUAGAAGUAGCUGGAACUCCAGCCUCUGCAGACACCUUUCCUCACCCUUUGCAGGGCAUUUCCCUUUGUUGAAGAAACUGAUCAGAUGUGAAGAUUUUUCUUGGGAUUAAAUGGGAUUUCUAUGUCCCCCAACACUGAGUCUUCAGCUGUGAAACCUAUGAGAACUACAAACACAGACAUAUAUAUUUACAUCUAUAUAUCCACAGUCAAGCUGUUGUCCUAAGAGAACAGAAGAGUUGGGCUGGAAUAGCUGACUGGAAAAUCUGCUGUAUUAACUGAAAGACAAUGGAGAGCAGAGAUAAUAUGAUCAAAUUUUAAAACUAAAGCAAGUAAAGGGCUGAGCCCAGCAAAGACUUUGGCAGGUGUUUAGCUGUAAUUUCUCUGUUUAUUGCUUACAGCCUUCUUCAAAGCCAGGAGUGUCUCUGACCUUGUGCCUAUAGUAAAGGCUAUGUGUGAUGGGUUUCUAGAAGUAACUCAUGUAAUUUCUCUUGGGCUAUACAGUAAAAUAGCACAUAUCUGGAAAUAUCACGGUCAUGUCAUACUAAAAAAUAAAUCUGGGAUUCAUGAUCGCUCAAAAUGAUCAAAUGACUUUCUCGUUGUAAUGAUUAUCUUGUUAUAAAUAUGGUUUUAAAUAAAAGGGCUCCAUCUUGUUGUCAA